rnacentral:sRNA from 1 species
GCUGGGUGUGGUGGCACAUGCCUGUAAUCCCAGCGGCUCAAGAGGCUGAGACAGGAGAAUCGUGAGUUCAAAGCCAGCCUCAGCAAAGGCAAGGCAUUAAGCAAUUCAGUGAGACCCUGUCUCUA